UAAAAUUCUACUUACUAUUUACAAAAACUAUUACCUACUAUUGCUCUUCUUCAACUAAAAAUGAUCUCGAAAGUAAUGGAUUUAGAAUCAAAUUAAACUACAAAAAAAAACUUAAAAUAAAAAUUGGAAACAUCCCUGUAUCCUUCCCAAUCCCUUUCAAUCACACGCCGAGCAUCGCUUAUGCACGGUCCCUAAAGUGACACAGUUGUUUAUAACUGCCACGGACGCCACGUCAGCCUCCGAAGGCGCGAAAACCCGUACAAAGCAAAGGACGGAAAGAAACGGAGGAUAAAAUACAGUUGUCGGGCCGACGACAGCUCUCUUGGAGGGACAAACAAAGUUCGUUUUGGUGGCCGCAGUAAAAAAACCGCGAGUGCCUACGUGUGCUCUGUGAAACGGGAGCUCGGAAGUGUCAACAGACGCGUGCAGCAGAAGUUUUU